AAAUUAUACAGAGUGCUGGUUUAGGAGCCACUCCCUCCCCAUUGUAUCCUGAUGCAAAUCUUCAGUCUGUGCAGUGUACUUCUGUCCUGCUGACUGCUCUUGUUCUUUGUGUGGAGCAUCAGAUGUCACAUCUCCAGCCUCAGGAUGAUGAACACACUCACUCUUCUGCUGGUUGCUCUCUCUCUGCCCUGUUGUACAGGUCAGAGUAUGGAGUCCAUUCCUUCCAGUUCAGUGGUGAAAAAGCCUGGGGAGACUCUCAGUCUCUCCUGCAGGGGAUCUGGCUUCACAUUUAGCUGCUGUGUUAUGAGCUGGGUCAGACAACCUGCAGGAGAAGCACUGGAAUGGAUAGGGAGCGGAUACUCUGCUUCAAGUAGUAACACUUAUGCCAGCAGUGUGCAGGGCCGUGUAGAAAUCAGUAGAGAUGACAGCAACAGCAUGGUGUUUCUGAGACUGUCCAACUUAAAGCCAGAGGACUCUGCUGUGUAUUACUGUGCCAGAGAAACACACUGGUUAAAGGAAGCAGAGAGGCUUGACAAAAACCUCAUACAAAUUAUUUUCCCAAGAACCUCCAGGUGGCAGUAGAAGAUAAGACGUCAGGUGAUACUAAG